rnacentral:rRNA from 1 species
GACGAACGCUGGCGGCGUGCUUAACACAUGCAAGUCGAACGGAAAGGCCCUGCUUUUGUGGGGUGCUCGAGUGGCGAACGGGUGAGUAACACGUGAGUAACCUGCCCUUGACUUUGGUAUAACUUCAGGAAACUUGGGCUAAUACCGGAUAGGAGCUCCUGCUGCAUGGUGGGGGUUGGAAAGUUUCGGCGGUUGGGGAUGGACUCGCGGCGUAUCAGCUUGUUGGUGGGGUAGUGGCUUACCAAGGCUUGGACGGGUAGCCGGGCUGGGCGGGUGACCGGACAAAUUGGGACUGAGAUAAGGCACAGACUACAACGGGAGGCAGGAGUGGGGAAUAGUGCACAAGGGGCGGAAGCCUGAUGCAGCAAAGCAGCGUGCGGGAUGACGGGCAUCGGGUUGUAAACCGCUGUCGCCUGUGACGAAGCGUGAGUGACGGUAAUGGGUAAAGAAGCACCGGCUAACUACGUG